GUUCGGUUAAGUCCGGCAACGAGCGCAACCCACAUCUUUAGUUGCCAUCAGGUUAAGCUGGGCACUCUAGAGAAACUGCCCGUGAUAAGCGGGAGGAAGGUGUGGAUGACGUCAAGUCCUCAUGGCCCUUACGGGUUGGGCUACACACGUGCUACAAUGGCAUCUACAGUGAGUUAAUCUCCAAAAGAUGUCUCAGUUCGGAUUGGGGUCUGCAACUCGACCCCAUGAAGUCGGAAUCGCUAGUAAUCGCGUAACAGCAUGACGCGGUGAAUACGUUCCCGGGCCUUGCACACUCCGCCCGU
rnacentral:rRNA from 1 species